UUAGUUCAUUUUAAUCAUAGAUGAAGUAAAAAAAAGUAGAUAAUGCGCGGCCUAUGUUGUUACUGAAGCCACAAAACUCGGCUCCUUCAAGUAAACACACGCGCUCACGCACACAUAUGCAUCAAACUACGCUCAUUUUCGUUAGUAUCUCACGGGGCCUCGUACAGUAACUUUGCCUUCAAAAUGCCGUUCUUAUGUAAUUAAAUGGUGCAAAAACAAUACCAAAGUGAAUAAAAAGUCUCAAGAAAUAUCGUUUCACACGACCUACCGGAUGAGUCUAAAAUCAGUCAAUAACCAAGAUUCAAUCUUUGAUACACCUAGAAAACAUAAACCAAGAGAAAAGUUAAAAAGACAGGAACUUUAUUUAAAAAAAAAAUUAAAUCAUUACAGCAAAGAGUUAGACGUCUUUAAAACAGGGACUUGCCC
rnacentral:misc_RNA from 1 species